AGAGAGAGACAUGCGCGCAUAUCAAUAAGCGGAGGAAAAGAAACUAACUAGGAUUCCCUUAGUAACGGCGAGUGAAGCGGGAAGAGCUCAAAUUUGAAAUCUUCAAGGUUCUACCUUGACGAAUUGUAGUUUAUAAGAAGUGUUUUCUGUUAGUGAGUUGGCUAAAAGUUCUUUGGAAUAGGACAUCAUAGAGGGUGAGAAUCCCGUAUUUGGUCAUUCCUCCUAGCGUUGUGAUACACUUUCAACGAGUCGGAUUGUUUGGGAAUGCAGUCCAAAAUGGGUGGUAAAUUUCAUCUAAAGCUAAAUAUUGGCGAGAGACCGAUAGCGAACAAGUACCGUGAGGGAAAGAUGAAAAGAACUUUGAAAAGAGAGUUAAACAGUACGUGAAAUUGUCAAAAGGGAAGCGUUUGACACCAGUGUUGUUUUUCCGAAAAUCAAUUACGAAUGUUUGUUUUUGAGGAGUUAUGACUUCAUCGGCUUGCUCCUUUCUUUACGAAACUUUCUUAAUGCACUUUUCGGUUAACAAGUCAACAUCAAUUUCUUUUGUUGUAAAAGGGUCAUUGAGGAAGGUGGCUUUCUUUUCGGAGAAAGUGUUUAUAGCCUUGUGCCUCUGCAAUCGGAGAGAUUGAGGUCUGCAGCGUAGAUCCUUCGGGGUUAGAUACAGUUUGUGCUAAGUUAUAGCUUUUCAUAGACAACUUGUUGACUAUGUUUAGUCUUGUAGCUUACUCGCUGAUGCUAUUUUACCUACGCUUAGGAUGUUGAUAGUCACAGCGUGUAC
rnacentral:rRNA from 1 species